rnacentral:rRNA from 1 species
UACGAAGGGGGCAAGCGUUGUUCGGAAUUACUGGGUGUAAAGCGCACGUAGGUGGCUGAGUCAGUCGAUUGUGAAAGCCCUGGGCUUAACCUGGGAAUUGCAGUCGAUACUACUCAGCUAGAGUAUGGGAGAGGGUAGUGGAAUUCCCGGUGUAGCGGUGAAAUGCGUAGAUAUCGGGAAGAACAUCAGUGGCGAAGGCGGCUGCCUGGCCCAAUACUGACGCUCAGGUGCGACAGCGUGGGGAGCAAACAGG